UUGUUGGUGGGGUAACGGCCUACCAAGGCUUCGACGGGUAGCUGGUCUGAGAGGAUGUCCAGCCACACUGGGACUGAGACACGGCCCAGACUCCUACGGGAGGCAGCAGUAGGGAAUCUUGCGCAAUGGGCGAAAGCCUGACGCAGCGACSCCGCGUGCGGGAUGAAGGCCUUCGGGUUGUAAACCGCUUUCAGCAGGGACGAAAUUGACGGUACCUGCAGAAGAAGCCCCGGCCAACUACGUGCCAGCAGCCGCGGUAAUACGUAGGGGGCAAGCGUUGUCCGGAUUUAUUGGGCGUAAAGAGCUCGUAGGCGGUUCGGUAAGUCGGAUGUGAAAUCUCCACGCUCAACGUGGAGGCGCCAUUCGAAACUGCCAUGACUUGAGUCCGGUAGGGGAGUGUGGAAUACC
rnacentral:rRNA from 1 species